rnacentral:rRNA from 1 species
AUACGUAGGGGGCGAGCGUUGUCCGGAAUGAUUGGGCGUAAAGGGCGCGUAGGCGGCGCGGUAAGUCUGGAGUGAAAGUCCUGCUUUCAAGGUGGGAAUUGCUUUGGAUACUGCCGCGCUUGAGUGCAGGAGAGGUUAUCGGAAUUCCCGGUGUAGCGGUGAAAUGCGUAGAGAUCGGGAGGAACACCAGUGGCGAAGGCGGGUAACUGGACUGCAACUGACGCUGAGGCGCGAAAGUGUGGGGAGCAAACAGGAUUAGAUACCCUUGUAGUCCACACUGUAAACGAUGAAUGCUAGGUGUAGGGGGUAUCGACCCCUUCUGUGCCGCAGUCAACACAAUAAGCAUUCCGCCUGGGGAGUACGGCCGCAAGGUUGAAACUCAAAUGAAUUGACGGGG